GGUAUCGGCCUAAUUACGCUUAAUAUGCCGGGUGUCGUUCGAUCACCGAAGCUACCCAAUCUUGGGCCCGAUUAGUACUUGGAAGGGGGACCGCCUGGGAACAUUGGGUGUUGAUAGCA
rfam:Tropilaelaps mercedesae isolate Wuxi-XJTLT scaffold0000033223, whole genome shotgun sequence.